rnacentral:lncRNA from 1 species
AAAAUUAUACGAUGCAUUCUCGAGAUAUUUUCGAACACCUUUCGCGCAUCCUUGAAUCCCAUACUAUUGAAAUUUUUUUUAAACAUAUUGAAUAGCACCAGAGGGAACAACAUACUAAUUGGACAAUAUUAGUGUCAAAGAAGAAAAAAAUCUGCGCAUGAACCCACAAUAUGUUGCAGUUCAUUGUCAGCCCAAAGAAUUAGCUAAAAUAUACUAUUUGCAAGACUGCAUUUCUACAGGUAGCACAAGAGCUGAUUUCGUCGGCUUAUCAUAACAUUUCGAUGUCAUGUAAGUACAGUCUGUCUUGCCCGUAAAAAUGCCACAAGACAGGUCCGGAAUCUCUUCUGUGGCAAUUUAGAGUGAUCUCUCUGAUCAACCCCUCCCUUGCAUCGAUAACCUUAGACCUUACUGUUUUCUUUAAUCUGUUCCUUCUCGUUGAGGCCUUCUUCAGUUUUACUUUUCUUUCGCUCGUUCCACCCUCAGCUUCGUUUCUUACAUCUCUUGAGCUCUUCGUUAAAGACUGUCUUGUAAUUUUACUCUUUUUUCUUUUAUUUUUCGUUCUUAGCCAGCUGCCUACAUUUUCCCUAUUUUGUAAUUUUUACAAGAGUAUUCUCGGAAAAUAAAAAGAUCUAUAGCUGAAAAAUGUCCAAUCCCGCAACUGUAUGGAUUUCGUCUGAUUUUUUUGCAGCGCCGAGAGAUCAAGAUCUUGAUUUUCAUAGUGCAGAAUGGAAACGGAUACACAGCUAUACCGGCCUGGUGGAAUCUUCUCACCUUCUCUAAGCAUAGGUAGUUGCACCAGCUAUCAUGAACUGUCUCUUUACUCCCGAAAAAUCAUCCUUCCGCCCGGCGCCCCGUUUUAGAUCGGAGUUCUUCGAUUCCAGCGUGACGUCAUCUCAGGCUUGGGCUCCCACCCCCAGCUUUGGGGAGGGCCCUGCCUCCUAUGAAUCAAAAUGCACAGUCCUCGCAUAUUUUUGUCAAGCAGAGUUGACUGAUGUGUACCGUCUGAUAAUUAACAAAGACAUUUCAGGAGUUCACAAAAGUCUUUCUCAAUUAUUAUUAUUAUUAUUUUUUUAAUAUUUUUACGCGAAAACAUCAGACAAAAAAGGUCAUCCGAUGGAGUUAGAAUACGCCCUCUGACUCAAACUAGCUUAUCAAGAUUUAAAAGUGAGGAGUGAUCACACUACGCAACAUGUGCGAGAUGUAAAAAAAGUUGCCAGGU